GGCGAGGGGAGUGAAAAAGAACCUGAAACCGUGUACGUACAAGCAGUGGGAGCACAGGUUUACCUGUGUGACUGCGUACCUUUUGUAUAAUGGGUCAGCGACUUAUAUUCUGUAGCAAGGUUAACCGAAUAGGGGAGCCGGAGGGAAACCGAGUCUUAACCGGGCGUUAAGUUGCAGGGUAUAGACCCGAAACCCGGUGAUCUAGCCAUGGGCAGGUUGAAGGUUGGGUAACACUAACUGGAGGACCGAACCGACUAAUGUUGAAAAAUUAGCGGAUGACCUGUGGCU
rnacentral:rRNA from 1 species